AACGCUAGCUACAGGCUUAACACAUGCAAGUCGAGGGGCAGCAUGAUUGAAGCUUGCUUCAAUUGAUGGCGACCGGCGCACGGGUGAGUAACGCGUAUCCAACCUUCCGUACACUCAGGGAUAGCCUUUCGAAAGAAAGAUUAAUACCUGAUGGUAUGAUGAGAUUGCAUGGUAACAUCAUUAAAGAUUCAUCGGUGUACGAUGGGGAUGCGUUCCAUUAGAUAGUAGGCGGGGUAACGGCCCACCUAGUCGACGAUGGAUAGGGGUUCUGAGAGGAAGGUCCCCCACAUUGGAACUGAGACACGGUCCAAACUCCUACGGGAGGCAGCAGUGAGGAAUAUUGGUCAAUGGACGAGAGUCUGAACCAGCCAAGUAGCGUGAAGGAUGAAGGUCCUACGGAUUGUAAACUUCUUUUAUAAGGGAAUAAAACCUCCCACGUGUGGGAGCUUGUAUGUACCUUAUGAAUAAGCAUCGGCUAACUCCGUGCCAGCAGCCGCGGUAAUACGGAGGAUGCGAGCGUUAUCCGGAUUUAUUGGGUUUAAAGGGAGCGCAGACGGGUCGUUAAGUCAGCUGUGAAAGUUUGGGGCUCAACCUUAAAAUUGCAGUUGAUACUGGCGUCCUUGAGUGCGGUUGAGGUGUGCGGAAUUCGUGGUGUAGCGGUGAAAUGCUUAGAUAUCACGAAGAACUCCGAUUG
rnacentral:rRNA from 1 species